ACUAUUUAGCAUUAUAAGCAAACAUCAAUAUCUACAGCUUACUACCCAUUGAUUGUUUGGUAAACUUGCCAAAGGAUUAAGAUUUAUGGCUGUAAAAGAAACAACCAGAUUCUGUACUUACCAUGUCGAUGGAUCCUUCAGAUCACUUGACAAAAGUUGACGAAUCACAAGUUUCCAAUAAAGUGUACUAUAUAAAUAUAAAUUGGUCUAGGUCUCGAAAAUUAAGAAAAUUACACAGCUUACUACCCAUUGAUUGUUUGGUAAACUUGCCAAAGGAUUAAGAUUUAUGGCUGUAAAAGAAACAACCAGAUUCUGUACUUACCAUGUCGAUGGAUCCUCCAGAUCACUUGACAAAAGUUGACGAAUCACAGGUUUCCAAUAAAGUGUACUAUAUAAAUAUAAAUUGGUCUAGGUCUCGAAAAUUAAGAAAAUUACACAGCUUACUACCCAUUGAUUGUUUGGUAAACUUGCCAAAGGAUUAAGAUUUAUGGCUGUAAAAGAAACAACCAGAUUCUGUACUUACCAUGUCGAUGGAUCCUCCAGAUCACUUGACAAAAGUUGACGAAUCACAGGUUUCCAAUAAAGUGUACUAUAUAAAUAUAAAUUGGUCUAGGUCUCGAAAAUUAAGAAAAUUACACAGCUUACUACCCAUUGAUUGUUUGGUAAACUUGCCAAAGGAUUAAGAUUUAUGGCUGUAAAAGAAACAACCAGAUUCUGUACUUACCAUGUCGAUGGAUCCUCCAGAUCACUUGACAAAAGUUGACGAAUCACAGGUUUCCAAUAAAGUGUACUAUAUAAAUAUAAAUUGGUCUAGGUCUCGAAAAUUAAGAAAAUUACACAGCUUACUACCCAUUGAUUGUUUGGUAAACUUGCCACAGGAUUAAGAUUUAUGGCUGUAAAAGAAACAACCAGAUUCUGUACUUACCAUGUCGAUGGAUCCUCCAGAUCACUUGACAAAAGUUGACGAAUCACAGGUUUCCAAUAAA